GCGGGCAUAGCUCAGUGGUAGAGCAUCAGCUUCCCAAGCUGAGGGUCGCGGGUUCGAGUCCCGUUGCCCGCU
rnacentral:tRNA from 1 species